rnacentral:rRNA from 1 species
UACGAAGGGGGCUAGCGUUGUUCGGAAUUACUGGGCGUAAAGCGCGUGUAGGCGGGUCUUUAAGUCAGGGGUGAAAUGCCAAGGCUCAACCUUGGAACUGCCUUUGAUACUGGAGAUCUUGAGUCCGGGAGAGGUGAGUGGAACUGCGAGUGUAGAGGUGAAAUUCGUAGAUAUUCGCAAGAACACCAGUGGCGAAGGCGGCUCACUGGCCCGGAACUGACGCUGAGACGCGAAAGCGUGGGGAGCAACAGGG